UACGGGGGGGGCAAGCGUUGUUCGGAAUUACUGGGCGUAAAGGGCUCGUAGGCGGCCAACUAAGUCCGACGUGAAAUCCCCAGGCUCAACCUGGGAACUGCGUCGGAUACUGGAUGGCUUGAAUUCGGGAGAGGGAUGCAGAAUUCCAGGUGUAGCGGUGAAAUGCGUAGAGAUGUGGAGGAACACCGAUGGCGAAGGCAGCCCCCUGGGUCAAGAUUGACGCUCAUGCACGAAAGCGUGGGGAGCAAACAGG
rnacentral:rRNA from 1 species